GAUGAACGCUGGCGGCGUGCCUAAUACAUGCAAGUCGAGCGAAUGGAUUAAGAGCUUGCUCUUAUGAAGUUAGCGGCGGACGGGUGAGUAACACGUGGGUAACCUGCCCAUAAGACUGGGAUAACUCCGGGAAACCGGGGCUAAUACCGGAUAACAUUUUGAACCGCCUGGUUCGAAAUUGAAAGGCGGCUUCGGCUGUCACUUAUGGAUGGACCCGGGUCGCAUUAGCUAGUUGGUGAGGUAACGGCUCACCAAGGCAACGAUGCGUAGCCGACCUGAGAGGGUGAUCGGCCACACUGGGACUGAGACACGGCCCAGACUCCUACGGGAGGCAGCAGUAGGGAAUCUUCCGCAAUGGACGAAAGUCUGACGGAGCAACGCCGCGCGAGUGAUGAAGGCUUUCGGGUCGUAAAACUCUGUUGUUAGGGAAGAACAAGUGCUAGUUGAAUAAGCUGGCACCUUGACGGUACCUAACCAGAAAGCCACGGCUAACUACGUGCCAGCCGCCGCAGUAA
rnacentral:rRNA from 1 species